UACAGAGGGUGCAAGCGUUGCUCGGAAUUACUGGGCGUAAAGCGCGCGUAGGCGGCUUUGCAAGUCGGGUGUGAAAGCCCUCAGCUCAACUGAGGAAGUGCGCCCGAAACUGCAGAGCUUGAGUACCGGAGAGGAUGGUGGAAUUCCCCAAGUAGAGGUGAAAUUCGUAGAUAUGGGGAGGAACACCGGUGGCGAAGGCGACCAUCUGGACGGAUACUGACGCUGAGACGCGAAAGCGUGGGUAGCAAACAGG
rnacentral:rRNA from 1 species